GUGCUCCCCCUCGAUGGGCGAAAGGGAAUCCGGUUCCUAUUCCGGAACCCGGCAGCGGAACCGAAUCUACGGGCCCUCGAAAGAGAAGCUCGUCGGGGUAACCCAAAGGGACCCGGAGACGCCGUCGGGAGACCCGGGCAGAGUUUUCUGUUCUGCAUAAGCGUUCGAGUUCCCUGGAAUCCUCUAGCAGGGAGAUAGGGUUUGGAACGCGAAGAGCACCGCAGUUGCGGCGGUGUCCGGGUCGUCCCCUCGGACCUUGAAAAUCCGGGAGAGGGUCACGCGGAGGUGUCGCGCCGGCUCGUACCCAUAUCCGCAGC
rnacentral:rRNA from 1 species